UACGAAGGGUGCAAGCGUUACUCGGAAUUACUGGGCGUAAAGCGUGCGUAGGUGGUUUUUUAAGUCCGUUGUGAAAGCCCUGGGCUCAACCUGGAAUGGCAGUGGAUACUGGAAAGCUAGAGUGCGGUAGAGGGUAGUGGAAUUCCCGGUGUAGCAGUGAAAUGCGUAGAGAUCGGGAGGAACACCAGUGGCGAAGGCGGCUACCUGGACCAGCACUGACACUGAGGCACGAAAGCGUGGGGAGCAAACAGG
rnacentral:rRNA from 1 species